rnacentral:rRNA from 1 species
CCUACGGGUGGCAGCAGUGGGGAAUAUUGCGCAAUGGGGGAAACCCUGAAGCAGCAACGCCGCGUGGAGGAUGAAGGUUUUCGGAUUUUAAACUCCUUUUGUUAGAGAAGAUAAUGACGGUAUCUAACGAAUAAGCACCGGCUAACUCCGUGCCAGCAGCCGCGGUAAUACGGAGGGUGCAAGCGUUACUCGGAAUCAAUGGGCGUAAAGGGCGCGUAGGCGGGAUAGCAAGUCAGAUGUGAAAUCCUAUGGGUUAACCAUAGAACUGCAUUUGAAACUGUUAUUCUAGAGUAGGGGAGAGGUAGGUGGAAUGCUUGGUGUAGCGGUAAAAUCCGUAGAGAUCAAGCGGAAUACUCAUUGCGAAGGCGACCUGCUAGAACAUAACUGACGCUGAUGCGCGAAAGCGUGGGGAGCAAACAGGAUUAGAUACCCUUGUAGUC